CCGGCGUUGCUUGGCUACCCCGCCGUUCCCCCGUCCCGCUGCCGCUCGCCUCCCCGGGUGAAACUCUGACGCCGUCACCGCGGGCCUCGGCUGCGUCAUAGCGGCGGGCAUCCCACCUUCACGUCACACCUCCUCCUCACCUGGACACGCAUUCCUCCCUCCCUGUCAACCACGACGUUUCCUCUCCCCCUCUCCAAUCCCCCUUACGCCAGAUCUGGCGAGAGAAGAUGGAGACGAGGGUGGGACUGAGUUGUGGACGACGCUCAGGAGAGGGUCGCAAGGUGGGACCCCGGACAGUGGUAGAAACAAAAUGAGGACGUCCCUGAAGUUUGCCCUUCUACUGAGACACGAGGAAUAGAGGGAAAGAAAUGACCAACCCAGAGGCACCCGAGGCCUCACUAUGGCUGUAAAGUCCUCUCUCUGCUUUCCUAACCUUUUCCCCAUUUCUCUUUCACACCACUUCUUUGCCAGUCUAGAUCCAUCCUGGUCCCUAAAUCUGCGUACAGUUCAACUCACCCCAGUUAAAUAAUGGCAGAGACAAGUCUGUUAGAUGCUGGGGCCUCUGCAGCCUCCACAGCUGCAGCGCUGGAGAACUUACAGGUGGAGGCGAGUUGCUCUGUGUGCCUGGAGUAUCUGAAGGAGCCUGUCAUCAUUGAGUGUGGACACAACUUCUGCAAAGCUUGCAUCACCCGUUGGUGGGAGGACCUAGAGAGGGACUUCCCUUGUCCUGUGUGUCGAAAAACAUCCCGCUACCGCAGUCUCCGACCUAAUCGACAACUAGGCAGUAUGGUGGAAAUUGCCAAGCAGCUCCAGGCUGUUAAGCGGAAGAUCCGAGAUGAAAGCCUCUGUCCCCAGCACCAUGAGGCCCUCAGCCUCUUUUGCUAUGAGGACCAGGAGGCUGUAUGUUUGAUAUGUGCAAUUUCCCACACCCACCGGGCCCACACCGUCGUGCCACUGGAUGAUGCCACACAGGAGUACAAGGAAAAAUUGCAGAAGUGCCUGGAGCCCCUGGAGCAGAAGCUGCAGGAGAUCACCCGCUGCAAGUCCUCUGAGGAGAAGAAGCCUGGAGAGCUCAAGAGACUAGUGGAAUGUCGCCGGCAACAGAUCUUAAAGGAAUUUGAAGAGCUUCAUAGGCGGCUGGAUGAAGAGCAGCAGAUGUUGCUUUCACGACUGGAGGAGGAGGAACAAGACAUUCUACAGCGCCUCCGAGAAAAUGCUGCUCACCUUGGAGACAAGCGCCGGGACCUGGCCCACUUGGCUGCUGAGGUGGAGGGCAAGUGCUUACAGUCAGGCUUCGAGAUGCUUAAGGAUGUCAAAAGUACCCUGGAAAAAUGUGAGAAGGUGAAGACCAUGGAGGUGACUUCAGUGUCUAUAGAGCUGGAAAAGAACUUCAGCAAUUUCCCCCGACAGUACUUUGCCCUAAGGAAAAUCCUUAAACAGCUAAUUGCGGAUGUGACCCUGGACCCAGAGACUGCUCACCCUAACCUAGUCCUGUCAGAAGAUCGUAAGAGCGUCAAGUUUGUGGAGACAAGACUCCGGGAUCUCCCUGACACACCACGGCGGUUCACCUUCUACCCUUGUGUCCUGGCUACUGAGGGCUUCACCUCAGGCCGACACUACUGGGAGGUGGAGGUGGGUGAUAAGACCCACUGGGCAGUGGGCGUGUGCCGGGACUCCGUGAGCCGAAAGGGCGAGCUGACUCCACUCCCUGAGACUGGCUACUGGCGGGUGCGGCUGUGGAAUGGGGACAAAUAUGCAGCCACCACCACGCCUUUUACCCCUUUGCACAUCAAGGUGAAACCCAAGCGGGUGGGCAUAUUCCUAGACUAUGAGGCCGGCACACUGUCUUUUUACAAUGUCACAGACCGCUCUCAUAUCUACACUUUUACUGAUACUUUUACUGAGAAACUUUGGCCCCUCUUCUAUCCAGGCAUCCGGGCUGGUCGGAAGAAUGCUGCACCACUUACCAUCAGGCCCCCAACAGAUUGGGAGUGACAGGUAGGGAUGUGGGAAUAAUUGGGGUGAGUCAGGGUCAAGAGCUAUGGGCCUUCCUUCCUGUGACCUGCUGGAACGUCUUCGUGUCUGCCUGGUUCCAGUCCUGCACUGUCUAGGAGAGGCAUCUUGGUUUCUAGAAUGGUUUAUAUGGAGGAGUAGAUAGGACUGGUCUGGGAUGAGAGCACAGCUGUGUCUCCCUUCUGUCAGGGUGGGGAGCUAGUUCCCAGGGGUUGUCUCCCCUGAAGUCCAUCAGGUUUUUCUAUUGCACAUGGAUAGGUUGGGAAGGAAGGAGAGGCUUUUCCGGAAACAGAAAGUCUGUGGGAGGGUCUGACUUGCUCAAAACCAGAAGAGGAAACAGAAACCCCUGUACAUCCUUUUAGGGGGUUCUUUGACCCAGAAUGGUCUUAUUUCUUGAGGAAGAUCAGAGGGGUCUGUGUACCUCUAGACUAAAAUAAAGAUGAAUGAUAGUUGCUCUUAUGGGUCUAGAAGUUAAGGAGUUUUUUUUGUUUGUUUGUUUGUUUUUGAGGGCAGAGAUUGAGCAUCAAGAUUAGAAAGAAAGUUGGGAAAGGGGCUAAAGGAACAGAUUCCUAGUGACCAAUGAAGGGGAAAGGGGUUUCUUUGGUCUUCCAUUCCCAGAGUAAGUUGCCAUUAUGAGUAGGAUUGGCCAGAGGUAGGAAUGUGGGGAGGAAAGGGUGAGAAGAAAGGAGAGGAGAAAUCGGGUCCCUCUCUCAGCCUUCAGCAAAGCUGGCUUAGUGCCUGCCUCCUUUGAGUUGGUUGUCUCUAAGAUGUCGGUCAGUCACCUUUCUCCUGCAGAGAUGAGGUACCAGAGACCCCUCAAGACACAUCUACCCUUUCACUGCUUUCCCAAGGGAACCUGGAAAGGACAGUCAGGUAUUAGAGGAAAGAGAAAGGUUUUUCUAUCCAAAGCCCUGGCCUUAAAGAAUGUUACUAAGUAGCUGCUCCCAAGUUGUCAGCCUUGUUCCUUGGCUAAGGUGUCCAAGCCAAAAAGGGAGAAAGGAAAUAGAGUCUUCCUCACCCUGAGGACAGGGUAGAAGAGAGGGUGUGUAGAGGGAAGGGUAAGAUAGGCAACUUCCUUUAGCCUGUGUGCAUAUGGCCUGGAACUAGUGUUCACAGGAGCCAGUCUUUUGCUUAUUUGUUGCCAUCCUUCACCUUUUGCCAUUUCCCCUAUCAGAGAAUGUAAAUCAUUUUAACAUUAGGCCAAAAUAAACAACUUGUAGGGUACAUAUGUUGUCAAAAAAGGUUAAAGCUAUGCAUGCCAAACCGAACUAAAAUGAUUUGGAAUAUUUGCUAUUUGGGUGAUCAGGGGUUCACAGAAGAUUGGGACAACAAACUGCAGUUUAUUGAGGGUGUUUCAAUUCCUCCUACCACCUCAACAGGACUUUGUCCAGACUCUCCUCUUACCUUUGUGCCUUGACUGUGGUUCUUUGUGGCAAGAUGCUUUGGUUGGUAAAACAAUAUGGAACAAAGGAUCCACUGAAGUGAUCUCUGUGUUGUGUGGUAAUUUGACGAUGGCCUUGUGUUGAUGUGUAAGAAUCACUGGUGUUAAGAAUGCAUGAUCCUGGGGUUUGCCCUCAGUGAUUAAUCAAGGUCUGGGGUGGGCCUGGAUGUCUACAUUUUAAACAUACUCCUCAUUUGAAUUUAGGGAUCCUUGUGAAAUUAAUCCCAGAGGAGGUUUUGGCCAUUUAUUCUGAGCUGGAGGCCUGGUUUCCUGCAUGGCCUGUUGGGGUUUGAGAAGGGAGAGAGGCCUUAUUCUCUCCUUAAUGCUACCCUUUCCCUGUCUCAAGGUUCAUUCAUGUUCUGCCGCUCCAGCUCACAUCCCUCUACUUCUGACUUCAGGAACUGGUGGUCAUUAACUAUGAGGCAGAAGUAAACACAGGAUGUCAAACAGAACAAACAGGAGACAGGGUGGCGCCGGAGUAAGGAUCGCGGAGAGAGCCUCGCGGGCCCAGGAACUACACUUCCCAGGAGGCCGUGCGCGGGCGCCUGAGGCGGGGCUAUCGGAGGGGCGGGACCUGCGGACUGUCGUGUGUGAGGGACUCGCGCGGCGCAGAUGGCUGGGCCGGUGAAGGACCGCGAGGCCUUCCAGAGGCUCAGCUUCCUGUACCAGGCCGCCCACUGUGUCCUUGCGCAGGACCCCACGAACCAGGCGCUGGCGAGGUUUUACUGCCACACGGAGAGGACCAUCGCAAAGCGGCUGGUCUUGCGGCGGUGAGACGCUCAGGGAACCUGGCGGCGGGCGCGAAGCAUGGGAGAGGGAGCGCGGGCGCUCGGACCACCAUCCCCUUCCGUCCGCAGGGACCCCUCGGUGAAGAGGACCCUCUGUCGUGGCUGCUCUUCCCUCCUCAUCCCGGGCCUCACCUGCACCCAGCGCCAGAGACGCUGCAGGGGACAGCGCUGGACAGUACAGACUUGCCUAACAUGCCAACGCAGCCAGCGUUUCCUCAAUGAUCCUGAUCAUCUACUCUGGGGAGACCGGCCUGAGGCCCAGCUGGGGAGCCAAGCAGGUGACAGAUCUCAAACCACCACAGCCCCUGCCAAAUGCAGCUCACCCCAUUCCAGCCCACCUCCCUGAGGAGAAAGUGUAGCCUCAGAGCUCCAGUCACCAGUGAUGGAUUCACCCUAUCUUUCAAAUAAAGUAUAAUUGUGUUUCA